UACGGAGGGUGCAAGCGUUAUCCGGAUUUACUGGGUUUAAAGGGUGCGCAGGCGGAUAUGUAAGUCAGUGGUGAAAUCUCCGGGCUUAACCCGGAAACUGCCGUUGAUACUAUAUAUCUUGAAUGCUGUGGAGGUAAGCAGAAUAUGUCAUGUAGCGGUGAAAUGCUUAGAGAUGACAUAGAACACCAAUUGCGAAGGCAGCUGGCUACACAAAUAUUGACACUGAGGCACGAAAGCGUGGGGAUCAAACAGG
rnacentral:rRNA from 1 species